rnacentral:rRNA from 1 species
AACGAACGCUGGCGGCAGGCCUAACACAUGCAAGUCGAGCGAGGACUUCGGUUCUAGCGGCGGACGGGUGAGUAACGCGUGGGAAUGUGCCCUUCUCUACGGAAUAGCCCUGGGAAACUGGGAGUAAUACCGUAUACGCCCUAUUGGGGAAAGAUUUAUCGGAGAAGGAUCAGCCCGCGUUGGAUUAGGUAGUUGGUGGGGUAAUGGCCUACCAAGCCGACGAUCCAUAGCUGGUUUGAGAGGAUGAGCAGCCACGCUGGGACUGAGACACGGCCCAGACUCCUACGGGAGGCAGCAGUGGGGAAUCUUAGACAAUGGGGGCAACCCUGAUCGAGCCAUGCCGCGUGAGUGAUGAAGGCCUUAGGGUUGUAAAGCUCUUUCAGCUGGGAAGAUAAUGACGGUACCAGCAGAAGAAGCCCCGGCUAACUCCGUG